GACGAAGGAUGCAAGCGUUAUCCGGAUUCAUUGGGUUUAAAGGGAGCGUAGGUGGCCUUAUAAGUCAGUGGUGAAAUCUCUGGGCUUAACCCAGAAAUUGCCAUUGAUACUGUAGGGCUUGAGUACAGUUGCUGUGGGCGGAAUAUGACAUGUAGUGGUGAAAUACAUAGAGAUCGGCAGGAACACCCAGGGGGAAACCAGUCGACUGGGCAUCUACUGACGCUGAGGUGCGAGAGCGUGGGGAGCGAACCGG
rnacentral:rRNA from 1 species